rnacentral:tRNA from 2 species
AGUCCCUUAGUGUAGCGGUCCAUCAUGUGGGGUUCUGGAUCCCACGACCCUGGUUCGAAUCCGGGAGGGACUACCA